rnacentral:rRNA from 1 species
GACGAACGCUAGCGGCAGGCUUAACACAUGCAAGUCGAACGAGAUUAAGAGGCUUGCUUCUUAUGCACGUGGCGCACGGGUGCGUAUCGCGUAUGCAUCCUACCUUAAUCAGGGGGAUAGCCCGAAGAAAUUCGGAUUAUGAUCGCAUAAAAACACAGGAUAGCAUUAUCCAAUGUUCAAAUGUUUAUAGGAUUAAGAUGGGCAUGCGUGUCAUUAGCUAGUUGGCGGGGUAACGGCCCUCCAAGGCGACGAUGACUAGGGGAGCGGAGGGGAUGACCCCUGACACUGGGACUGGGACACGGACCAGACACCUACGGGAGGGAGGAGUAAGGAAGAUAGGUGAGGGGAAGAGACUCUGAACCGGCCAGGCCGCGUGCAGGAACGCAGCGCUCUGGAUCGUAGACUUCUGGUAGUAAAGAAUAUGCGUUUCUACGGGAAGGAAGCUGAAGGUACCGAAGGAAUAAGGACCGGCUAACUCCGUG